CCUACGGGCGGCAGCAGUGAGGAAUAUUGGUCAAUGGGCGAGAGCCUGAACCAGCCAAGUCGCGUGAGGGAAGACGGUCCUAUGGAUUGUAAACCUCUUUUGUCGGGGAGCACAAGCCGCCACGUGUGGCGUUCCGUGAGUACCCGAAGAAAACGCAUCGGCUCACUCCGUGCCCGCAGCCGCGGUAAUACGGAGGAUGCGAGCGUUAUCCGGAUUUAUUGGGUUUAAAGGGUGCGCAGGCGGAAGAUCAAGUCAGCGGUAACAUUGAGAGGCUCAACCUCGUCGAGCCGUUGAAACUGGUUGUCUUGAGUGAGCGAGAGGUAUGCGGAAUGCGUGGUGUAGCGGUGAAAUGCAUAGAGAUCACGAAGAACUCCGAUUGCGAAGGCAGCAUACCGGCGCUCAACUGACGCUGAUGCACGAAAGUGUGGGUAUCGAACAGGAUUAGAUACCCGAGUAGUC
rnacentral:rRNA from 1 species